rnacentral:tRNA from 1 species
AAUAUAGCGCAGCCUGGUAGCGCGCACCCUUGGGGUGGGUGAGGUCGUGGGUUCGAAUCCCGCUAUU